UAAGGUGGAAACCCCCUCCCCACGAGGUGAAGCGGAGUCCGCUCCAGAGCCCCGAAGUUGGGGUCGGGGAUGUCACAGAAAUCACCAGGGCAGCCAAUUCCCAUCCACAGGGGGCUCCCAUCCCAGGAUGACCCAGCACCCUCAAGCUCAGCCCCAAGCUCGGGCCAGGGAGUGAAGCCCUUGUCCCCAAGCAACAGAGUGAGGGUUUGUCUCUAACCCUGUGGGCUCCAGUGAAAGGAAAAUGGCCUGGAGGUGCCCACAGGAGAGCACCCGAGUUCUGAGACAGAUCUAUGGCUCCCAGCCUGAGUCCCCGUGAGUAACACAGGGACGCACAGAGGGGCAUGCUGCCUGCCUAUAGGGCACUCACCGAACGCGGGUGCACGCUGCGGAUCCUGAAGCCGGUCAGGUAACGAGGUGCAGAGGUGUGGGAAACACCUGGAGGGAGGCCUCCCCGGGUGCCCACCAGCCUAACCAGCCGGGACCAGCGACCAGAAGUGCUUCUGACGUUAACGCGACACACGGAAGGUGCGUAGGGGUGCCUCUGACAUCUGCACAGCGCACACAGCCGAGUUUAAGAGCCCACUGUUAAGAUGCCCAAGUGACGUUGACAAGUUUCUCCUCUGCGAGCCAGUGAGAUCUGAUGACUGCGAGAGCAUCAUGGGACCGCCAAAGGAUUCUGGAAAAUGCGGUCCCGGGUGGCCAGUGUGCGCUGACCUUCACCUGCAGGUGCGGCUUGAGGGAAACUUCUGGAGGGUGGGGUGGAAUUGAAGCAGAGGCACAAUUGUAACCUUUCUGCUCAAUAUGGGUGUUUUAUUUAUGCAUUAGUUUGUGUUUUUAAAGAUAUUACAUUAAAAAUUUGUUUAUCUUGA